ACAUAAGUAACGAUAAAGCGGGUGAAAAGCCCGCUCGCCGGAAGACCAAGGGUUCCUGUCCAACGUUAAUCGGGGCAGGGUGAGUCGACCCCUAAGGCGAGGCCGAAAGGCGUAGUCGAUGGGAAACAGGUUAAUAUUCCUGUACUUGGUGUUACUGCGAAGGGGGGACGGAGAAGGCUAUGUUGGCCGGGCGACGGUUGUCCCGGUUUAAGCGUGUAGGCUGGUUUUCCAGGCAAAUCCGGAAAAUCAAGGCUGAGGCGUGACGACGAGGCACUACGGUGCUGAAGCAACAAAUGCCCUGCUUCCAGGAAAAGCCUCUAAGCAUCAGGUAACAUCAAAUCGUACCCCAAACCGACACAGGUGGUCAGGUAGAGAAUAC
rnacentral:rRNA from 1 species